rnacentral:rRNA from 1 species
AGAGUUUGAUCAUGGCUCAGAUUGAACGCUGGCGGCAGGCCUAACACAUGCAAGUCGAGCGGUAGCACAGAGAGCUUGCUCUCGGGUGACGAGCGGCGGACGGGUGAGUAAUGUCUGGGAAACUGCCUGAUGGAGGGGGAUAACUACUGGAAACGGUAGCUAAUACCGCAUAAUGUCGCAAGACCAAAGUGGGGGACCUUCGGGCCUCAUGCCAUCAGAUGUGCCCAGAUGGGAUUAGCUAGUAGGUGGGGUAAUGGCUCACCUAGGCGACGAUCCCUAGCUGGUCUGAGAGGAUGACCAGCCACACUGGAACUGAGACACGGUCCAGACUCCUACGGGAGGCAGCAGUGGGGAAUAUUGCACAAUGGCGCAAGCCUGAUGCAGCCAUGCCGCGUGUGUGAAGAAGGCCUUCGGGUUGUAAAGCACUUUCAGCGGGGAGGAAGGCGGUGAGGUUAAUAACCUCAUCGAUUGACGUUACCCGCAGAAGAAGCACCGGCUAACUCCGUGCCAGCAGCCGCGGUAAUACGGAGGGUGCAAGCGUUAAUCGGAAUUACUGGGCGUAAAGCGCACGCAGGCGGUCUGUCAAGUCGGAUGUGAAAUCCCCGGGCUCAACCUGGGAACUGCAUUCGAAACUGGCAGGCUAGAGUCUUGUAGAGGGGGGUAGAAUUCCAGGUGUAGCGGUGAAAUGCGUAGAGAUCUGGAGGAAUACCGGUGGCGAAGGCGGCCCCCUGGACAAAGACUGACGCUCAGGUGCGAAAGCGUGGGGAGCAAACAGGAUUAGAUACCCUGGUAGUCCACGCCGUAAACGAUGUCGAUUUGGAGGUUGUGCCCUUGAGGCGUGGCUUCCGGAGCUAACGCGUUAAAUCGACCGCCUGGGGAGUACGGCCGCAAGGUUAAAACUCAAAUGAAUUGACGGGGGCCCGCACAAGCGGUGGAGCAUGUGGUUUAAUUCGAUGCAACGCGAAGAACCUUACCUGGUCUUGACAUCCACAGAACUUAGCAGAGAUGCUUUGGUGCCUUCGGGAACUGUGAGACAGGUGCUGCAUGGCUGUCGUCAGCUCGUGUUGUGAAAUGUUGGGUUAAGUCCCGCAACGAGCGCAACCCUUAUCCUUUGUUGCCAGCGGUUAGGCCGGGAACUCAAAGGAGACUGCCAGUGAUAAACUGGAGGAAGGUGGGGAUGACGUCAAGUCAUCAUGGCCCUUACGACCAGGGCUACACACGUGCUACAAUGGCAUAUACAAAGAGAAGCGACCUCGCGAGAGCAAGCGGACCUCAUAAAGUAUGUCGUAGUCCGGAUUGGAGUCUGCAACUCGACUCCAUGAAGUCGGAAUCGCUAGUAAUCGUAGAUCAGAAUGCUACGGUGAAUACGUUCCCGGGCCUUGUACACACCGCCCGUCACACCAUGGGAGUGGGUUGCAAAAGAAGUAGGUAGCUUAACCUUCGGGAGGGCGCUUACCACUUUGUGAUUCAUGACUGGGGUGAAGUCGUAACAAGGUAACCGUAGGGGAACCUGCGGUUGGAUCACCU